CCUACGGGAGGCAGCAGUGAGGAAUAUUGGUCAAUGGCCGGAAGGCUGAACCAGCCAAGCCGCGUGAAGGACGAAGGUGCCAAGCAUUGUAAACUUCUUUUGUCAAGGGACAAAAUCAGGCUCGAGAGCCUGACCGAGGGUACUUGAAGAAAAAGCAUCGGCUAACUCCGUGCCAGCAGCCGCGGUAAUACGGAGGAUGCGAGCGUUAUCCGGAUUUAUUGGGUUUAAAGGGUGCGUAGGCGGGCUGUUAAGUCAGUGGUAAAAGCCCGGGGCUCAACCCCGGCUAGCCGUUGAAACUGGCUGUCGUGAGAUGUCGAGAGUUAGGCGGAAUGCGCAGUGUAGCGGUGAAAUGCUUAGAUAUUGCGCAGAACUCCGAUUGCGAAGGCAGCAUACCGGCGGCGAUCUGACGCUGAGGCACGAAAGCGUGGGUAUCGAACAGGAUUAGAUACCCCAGUAGUC
rnacentral:rRNA from 1 species